GACGAACGCUGGCGGCGUGCUUAACACAUGCCAGUCGAACGGAAAGGCCCCUUUGGGGGUACUCGAGUGGCGAACGGGUGAGUAACACGUGAGUAACCUGCCCUUGACUUCGGGAUAACUUCAGGAAACUGGGGCUAAUACCGGAUAGGAAUCCUUGCUGCAUGGUGGGGGUUGGAAAGCUUCGGCGGUUUUGGAUGGACUCGCGGCUUAUCAGCUUGUUGGUGGGGUAGUGGCUUACCAAGGCUUUGACGGGUAGCCGGCCUGAGAGGGCGACCGGCCACAUUGGGACUGAGAUACGGCCCAGACUCCUACGGGAGGCAGCAGUGGGGAAUAUUGCACAAUGGGCGGAAGCCUGAUGCAGCAACGCCGCGUGCGGGAUGACGGCCUUCGGGUUGGAAACCGCUUUCAGCAGGGGCGAAGCUUGUGGUGACGGUACCUGCAGAAGAAGCACCGGCUAACUACGUG
rnacentral:rRNA from 1 species